CGCCCCCAGGUACGCGGACAAGAUGGCGGCGGCAGCGGUCGACAGCGCGAUGGAAGUGGUGCCGGCGCUGGCGGAGGAGGCCGCGCCUGAGGCAGCGGGCCUCAGCUGCCUCGUCAACCUGCCCGGCGAGGUGCUGGAGUACAUCCUGUGCAGCGGCUCGCUGACGGCCGCCGACAUCGGCCGCGUCUCCAGCACCUGCCGGCGGCUGCGCGAGCUGUGCCAGAGUAGCGGGAAGGUGUGGAAGGAGCAGUUCCGGGUGAGGUGGCCUUCCCUUAUGAAACACUACAGCCCCACCGACUACGUCAAUUGGUUGGAGGAGUAUAAAGUUCGGCAAAAAGCUGGGUUAGAGGCCCGGAAGAUUGUAGCCUCCUUCUCAAAGAGGUUCUUUUCAGAGCACGUCCCUUGUAACGGUUUUAGUGACAUUGAGAAUCUUGAGGGACCAGAGAUAUUUUUUGAGGAUGAACUGGUGUGUAUCCUAAAUAUGGAAGGAAGAAAAGCUUUGACCUGGAAAUACUACGCCAAAAAAAUUCUUUAUUACCUACGACAACAGAAAAUUUUAAAUAAUCUUAAGGCUUUUCUUCAGCAGCCUGAUGACUAUGAAUCAUAUCUUGAAGGUGCAGUGUAUAUUGACCAGUACUGCAAUCCUCUCUCCGACAUCAGCCUCAGAGACAUUCAGGCCCAGAUUGACAGCAUCGUGGAGCUUGUUUGCAAAACCCUCCGGGGCAUAAAUAGCCGCCACCCCAGCUUGGCCUUCAAGGCAGGUGAAUCCUCCAUGAUAAUGGAAAUAGAACUCCAGAGCCAGGUGCUGGAUGCCAUGAACUACGUCCUUUAUGACCAACUGAAGUUCAAGGGGAACCGAAUGGAUUACUAUAAUGCCCUAAACUUAUAUAUGCACCAGGUUUUAAUCCGCAGAACUGGAAUCCCAAUCAGCAUGUCUCUGCUCUACCUGACCAUUGCCCGGCAGUUGGGGGUCCCACUGGAGCCUGUCAACUUCCCCAGUCACUUCUUACUAAGGUGGUGCCAAGGUGCAGAAGGGGCAACCCUGGACAUCUUUGACUACAUCUACAUAGAUGCCUUUGGGAAAGGCAAGCAGCUGACAGUGAAAGAAUGUGAAUACCUGAUCGGCCAGCAUGUCACUGCAGCGCUGUAUGGGGUGGUGAACGUAAAGAAGGUGUUACAGCGAAUGGUGGGAAACCUUUUAAGCCUGGGAAAGCGGGAAGGCAUCGACCAGUCGUACCAGCUCCUGAGGGACUCCCUGGAUCUGUACCUGGCGAUGUACCCGGACCAGGUGCAGCUCCUCCUUCUCCAAGCCAGGCUCUACUUCCACCUGGGCAUCUGGCCAGAGAAGUCUUUCUGUCUUGUCUUGAAGGUGCUUGACAUCCUCCAGCACAUCCAAACCCUAGACCCCGGGCAGCACGGGGCGGUGGGCUAUCUGGUGCAGCACACGCUGGAGCACAUUGAGCGGAAGAAGGAGGAGGUGGGCGUGGAGGUGAAGCUCCGCUCCCACGAGAAGCACAGAGACGUCUGCUAUGCCAUUGGGCUCAUUAUGAAGCAUAAGAGGUAUGGCUAUAACUGUGUCAUCUAUGGCUGGGACCCCACCUGCAUGAUGGGACAUGAGUGGAUUCGAAACAUGAACGUCCACAGCCUGCCUCACGGCCAUCAUCAGCCUUUCUAUAAUGUGCUGGUGGAGGACGGGUCCUGUAGAUAUGCCGCCCAAGGGAUUAGCAGCUGCCAGCCAGAGAUGUUCAGAGGACCACCUGUUGAGUCCUUGGUUUCUCAGGAUGGUGACUCGGUCACACAUUUAUGUGGGUCCAUUCAGCAUGUCACCGCCGGUCAGGCUGCACAGCUCCCCAAAACCAGCUGCAUCACUAGCCUUAAGAGCUCAUUAGGCUCCGGCACCGUGUGACCUGCCAGGAGGCGACGCAGAAUGGGUGCACGCAGAGAGCCAGAAUAGAGCGGCCGCCGCGCAAGAUGGCCCAGGGAUCCUGCCAGCUGGCUGCACGCCCCAGGCUCGGCUGUCCCCUCCGAGGAACUCGUGUCCCAUUUGGGAAAGAGAGAGAGAGCACAGAUUGAAGCCUGGGGGAGAUUUGUCCACAUCCACUGCACCUCCUGAUCCGGAGAUCUUUCUGCGAUCAGCUUCUCUGUCCACCUGCAGAAGCCUUGCAUCUGCGGGGAACCUGCUUGUUCGCCUGGAGACGCUGCCUCGCUGUCAUCGUUUUAUUUUAAAUGGAAGUGCCCCUCCCCCUCGGUGGCCCAGGGAUGGGCGGGGUUCAGACGGCUGGGAUUCCGCCAUACAUUGCUGCCUUGUGGAAUGUGCCACAAACCCACCAGAACAGAACAGGCUGGGAAAGUCACAGGAGAGAGGCUGUGUCUUACGACACGCUCUCUUUGGGAUAGUGUUUGCUGAAUAAACCUGGGCUUCCUUGGCUCCAGUAAGUGACUCAGAGAACGAGGACAUGGUUCCUCGCCUGCACAGACCAGGACAGGCUAUGCCUCCCUUGGGCCUAGAACCAUCCAGGUCUCGGGAACGCCCUGCCAUCUCCCCAUCGGUGGCAGUGUCAGGCCAAAGAGGAGACAGUAGACUCAUGGGUGAAUCAGAGGGGUCUUAGGAGGGAAAUCGGCUGUGUGGCCUCCCACCCUGUGCUGGGGAAGUGUCCGGAGGGAAACGGGGACCCCCCCCUUGGGAGGGGUCUGCUGAAUCCCGAAAUUGAAUGAAGGACUCACCACCCCUUCUUUUACUCCUCAUGUUUCAUCCACCACCAGGUCCUGCAGAGGGUACCUGGGUGCAUCCCCGCUGCCACCAGCCUGGUCCAGGCCCCUGCUGCCUCCUGCCUUGAAAGUUCAGCUGCGUCCAAGGUGAUCUUUCUAAAGGUGUGGUGAGGCCAGAAAUGGAGUGAGGAGCCCCCUUGAUAACUGGGAACCGCCAGACUGGAGGGGCCGGGAAGAGGCUGCACCCUGGGGGUCGUGUCUCUGUGCUUUCUCUGGUCCUCACUCCCUCCUGGAGCCAGCAAUAGGCACUGGCCCUGCAGUGAGUUCAACCAAGUGUGGUCUCCCCUCGCAGAUGUGAAAAACAUGUGGGAAACGCCUGGAUCCAGUCCUCAGAUGGUGCUUCACCACACUCGGGUUAUUCCAUAAUGUUUAUGGGGUUGGGGGCUAGGGGAGUAGGUGGAGGUCAGCGUCAUUCUGAUUCUCCUGGACACCUCCCCCUGGUGAGGACAUCAGCCGAGCCUCAGCGUCCGAGGGAGACGUUCAUGCAGCCAAACAACCAGCGUGAGUCCCCAGAGGAUCUGUGCCGAAGAUGAUACCCCAAGAGGUCGGUGGGGAGACCCAGGAAAAGAUGUGAGCGUUCCCAGCCUUGGCACAUCUUGGACAUCACUUGGUCUUGGAGGGGGCUGCCUCAUCCAGGGGGCUGAAGGUGGCCCCCCACCCUGGUGGGGCCAGUAGGAGAAGGUGAGGGACCGUGCCUUCAGAAAAGCCAUGUCAUUUAAUCCUCAUGCUACUCUUCAGAGUGGAUGCCGUUAUUAUCAACCCGCUUUACAGAUGAAGAAACUGAGGCUCAGCGACGGGGCACUCCAGGUCUCAAGGGGGAAAGAAACAGAUGGCAGAGGAAGAUGGCCAUCCCCCCCACCGGGGGGGAUAGAGUGGGCUGAUUUUCGUUGGGUCACAGGUUCAGAGAGGCUGGGAGCCCCACGGGCCUGGAUGGUGUCUGAUUCCACCCCCGCAUGCCCUAGGGGGCAGCAGAGCGUCAUAAGUGCCCGCGCUUUGCAGUGGACCAGACUCAGGUUCAAGCUAAGCUGCUGUUACUAAGCAGCGUGGGCUGGUCAUUUAACCUGGAGGCGGGGGCCUCCGUUUCCUGUGGUUGGACGGAGAGACGAGGACCUCCGCGGAGCGUGCCUGCUCAUCACUACGUCAGGAGCAGCGCAGACCCUGGAAGGCUCAUCCGCGCUGCUCCAAGACCCUGUUUAAGGUCUAGUCACCUUCACAGCAGCGCAGCAGCCUCGAAUCUGUGGGUAUCCUGGUUACCCAGAGGCAAAGAGAAGCAGAGUGACUUCCUCGUGGUCACAUGACCUGUAAGCGGCAGAGGCAGGAUUUGAACCCAGGUCUUUCAGCUGCACUGUGACCACAGCACUGUACCUGCCUCCGAAAUCACUCACACACAGCUCGACACACACAAUGCACGCACCUGUUUGCUGUUAGUACUGAAGGGCUGCGCGCAGGUUCAAUCGAUGGAAGUGAUCAUUGCUGAUAUUACAACAUUAUCUACAAGUUUCCCUGGGGCGGAAGGUGCGCCCACCCUAGAGACUCUUCGAACAUUCUGCCUACAAGAAAGAAGUAUUUAACCAGCGUCCGGCAGGCUGUGAGUUUAUAAGUGAUUUAUAAAAAGCCUGCUGAAGUCUAGAGACUUCUAACAGCGGAGGUGUGUUCUCCAGACUAAGAAUAGCUGCUGAGGCCUGACGGGAGAUGCUUUCUGGUGACAUAAGAGCAGAGCAGCUUGGGGGGAUGUGGGUUUUCUCCAGCUCGGUAACAGCUGCCGGUACAGCGUCACCGCCUUUCCCCCUCAGAGGGAUGCACUGAGCCGAAGGAAUUCGUUGAAGGUGUAGGAACGGGGCCAGGUGACCCCCAAGGUGGGGUUUCUGAUCUGUUACUUCUCCACCGCCUCACCACCCCCAGUUUUCUGGACGCUGGACGCCGGACCAGUAAGAUGGGGAUAGAGAGCAGGGGUCAGCAGGGGGGAGGGCGGACGGUCCCUGGCCAGCUCUGGAUCUAGAUGCUCCCGGGCAGUGAGAGGGCACAGGUGCCUCCGUCCUGCUGGCCCCGGCCUCACCGGCACCUGAGGGGCCUCUGACACAUGCAGACCCCAGCCCACUGCACCAGUCGCUCUGGGGGACUCUUAUACACACCCGAGUGUGGGAACUCCUGCCGUUUAAGGGAAGCAGAACUCCGGUCCAGAACUUGCUCCGAGUCCCGGCAGGUAACUGCUGACUUUUUCUGAAAUUAAUAAAUUCUGGGGAGAGAUUACGUACAAAGAUUAGGUCAACCUAAGGUUAAAUUAUGGUUCCCCACCAGGAGCUGUGAGCUUUUAGUGGAAGUAUUGGAGGGAUUGGGGCGAGGGGAGGAGAAAGAAAAGGAAAAGGAACAGUUUAAACUUAAAAUACUCUUUAAAAUGAUGUCUUGCCAUACUCAGGCGCUCGUGCGCGGUUUGUUACUGGACGUUUGCAUCUUUAGAUGUUAUGCGUAUGUCCUGCACAGGGUUGUGUGCAUAAACCUGUAAGGACCAGACUUUAUGGUCACUAGGGGAUUUUUGAGGAUGACUGUGGCUGCGCGUGAUGUUGACCUUGCACCCUGGCUCCACGAGACAGCCCCCCAAGAGGGGAGAGCCUGUGCUGUCAGGCAACCCUCAGGCCUCACCACGCACCUCCCGAGGGUCCUGACUCCUCAGCCCUGGAGUGCGCAGCGCAGGAGCUGAGCCCGCGCGGCUCCCCGUGGAUUUCAGGGCAGCCCCAGUGCUGUCUCACUUGUGCCCUCGCCUUCUGCCCUGGCCUCUCGGGUCCCCUGGGAGGGAUGCCUCCUUCUGGAAGCCCCUGCUCCUGAGCCCCGCCCCCAGCACAGACUCUCCUGUCCCCACCUGCCUCCCUCUCCCCAGAAAUCCACAGGCCUCCCCUCACCCUGUGACAUCUGGUGGCUGGGCUUGAGGUCCAGGGCCCUCUCUAUGCUCCCUCCCUCUUUGGGGUUUAGACCUAUGUGACCUUGACCCUCUGAGCUUCCUCCCUGGUGAAAAUGAGAGGGUCGAGCCUGCCAAUUCCAAGGGGCUCUUUAAUCCCCCCUCCCGAGCCCCCCAACUUGGCUCCUGCCCACUGCAAUGUGGGGAGGGAGGGGGGCUCCUCUUCCCCAGUUUCUCCCCCCAGCAGUCCCUCUGCCAGGUCAAAACACUAAACCCUGUCCAGGAUUUUCACCUGCCUCUACAUGCAGUGGAGGACCCAGAAGCCCCAAAGCACCUUUCUCUCCCCCCACCCCAUGCUGGAGUCUCUUGGGCAGAGGAGAUGUUUCCUCUGUGUAAAGAGCUUUGAAAGAGCAGCUGGGAACCUGUCAUUCCUUCACAUCCACAUCUUUCUCCAUGAAGGGUAGAGCUAGAUCUAGUUCCCAUCUCGGCUGUCCACAGCCAGCCCUGGGAGGGUUGCGGAGACAGCUGAGGGUGGACAACUGGGAAGCGUGCCCAGUCAGCGGGAGCAGCCCGGGCACUGCCAAGUCAGCACAGCCUCGGGAGGGGGGGCGCGUGGUGGGGCACCUGGGCCCACCUCUUACCUCCGCCCUCACCCCCACCCCGCCCCAGCCUGCCUUUGCCCUCCGUCUGCCCCAGCUGGCCCAGAUGGUACGUGCCUGCUGCAUCCUGUCACAAAUAAGCCCCAAAUUAUCGGCUGUGCUGACUCUGAACCCCAGCAUAUAUUUAUCACCCUGCCUCCCAGGCCCUCAGCCGGGUCCCACUGGUACUUGCAGCCAUCCCAGGAGGGAGGGGAGGCAGGGAGGGAGGGAGGAGGUGGCUGUGCCUGCCCCCACUCCCACACCCUGGCUGCGGAGGUGCUAAGAUGAACCAGGUGGCAGGAUCCCAGCCAGUGGUACUGCCCAGCUGGGUAGUUCAUGGUCCUGCAGGUGGCCGGCUCAGCAUCCAAUCCCAGCCCUGUCACCUCCUAGCCCUUUCACCCUUGCUGAAUCAUCUCUGUAAAGAUGGGAUUAUGGACCCAUUAUACAGAUGAGAACAUCAAGGUUCAGAGCUUCAAAGGAACCAGCCCAAGACCACACCACCCGGGGAGUGGCAGAGCUGGGAUGCAACUUAGAUCUGAAUCCGUCUCCUGCAGCACACCAUCACCCAAGGUUAGCUUCAAAGAUCAGGGUGCCUCGGGUGAGAAAGGAUUGUUUAAAAGAUAACCAAAAGCAGUAUAGAAAACCCAGAGAUAAACCCACACACAUGUGGUCACCUUAUCUUUGAUAAAGGAGGCAAGAAUAUACAAUGGAGAAAAGACAGUCUCUUCAAU